rnacentral:rRNA from 1 species
AUACGUAGGGUGCGAGCGUUGUCCGGAAUUACUGGGCGUAAAGAGCUCGUAGGUGGUUUGUCGCGUCGUCUGUGAAAUUCCGGGGCUUAACUCCGGGCGUGCAGGCGAUACGGGCAUAACUUGAGUACUGUAGGGGAGACUGGAAUUCCUGGUGUAGCGGUGAAAUGCGCAGAUAUCAGGAGGAACACCGGGGGCGAAGGCGGGUCUCUGGGCAGUAACGGACGCUGGGGAGCGAAAGCAUGGGUAGCGAACAGGAUUAGAUACCCUGGUAGUCCAUGCCGUAAACGGUGGGCGCUAGGUGUAGGGGUCUUCCACGACUUCUGUGCCGUAGCUAACGCAUUAAGCGCCCCGCCUGGGGAGUACGGCCGCAAGGCUAAAACUCAAAGGAAUUGACGGGG